UGAAAAAAAAAAGAACAGUGUAUAUGAAGUUAGUGAAACCUAUUCUUGGCCAGCUCCUCUUUGAGCAUUAGUCAGAGCUAGAUGCAACAGAGUUGCUUUUUUCCUUUGUUUUCCUUCUUUUAGUGGACCAAGCAAUUCCUCUCUGAGAAGGCAAAUUACUCCUGCAAUAGUUCUCUGCUCCCCAGGAGCCAGAGAGGGAGACAGUUGUUCAAUAGUUGUUCAGUUACAAUGUGGGGAAGGUGAGAGGACUCUAGAAUACUCUGACCUGAGGGCCUUGGGGAUGGCUCCAUGAGAAAAUGAUAUUCACACAGACUCUUGAGAGAUGUGACAAUCAGAAAUGCCUUGAGCCCCUCCCAGGUUGUGUGUGUUUCCCACAGCAUGAAGCCCUAAGGAUUCCUUCCAUUUCUGGAGCACAUGGAAGCAAAGGGUUCCAAGAUACUCACAUGGACUCAAGGAUGGCCAGGGCCAGGCCUUAGAACCCACAAGGUGAAAAAAAGAAAAAAAAAAAAAAAAAAGAACUCACACAUAUACAUAUGCACAUACACACACACACACACACACACACUCACUCACACACUCACACACACAUAUACACACACACAUACACACACUCACACAUAUACAUAUACAUAUGCACAUACACACACACACUCAUACACACACAUACACACAUACACAUACACUCUCACACACAUACACACACACUCACAGACAUAGACACAUACACAUAUUCUCUCUUUGUGUCUCUCUCUGUCUCUGUCUCUGUCUCUGUCUCUCUCUCUCUCUCACACACACACACACACACACACACACACACACACACACACACACACGGUGAGAAAAUAAGAACAUAAAUAAAGAUGUAACAAAAGUAUCCAAAACAACCAACUGACAAGUUCAAUGUUCUUGGUUUUCCCCUCAGUCAAAAGAAGGCUGACUGAAACGUCCUUAUGGAAAACACAGUCUCAAAGCUAAGCCAGCCCUGUACAGCCUUCUUUCACAGGGGCGUGGGCAGUCAUCUUCUUGGGUCAUUGGGGGAUACACACAGGUCACGUGCACCAUGACUGAGUGCAAACAUAGGGAGCAAAGCGUCUGUUUUACUUACUACUUCCAUAUAACAGGUCAUCGUCAAAAGCAGUUAUGGUUGGAACCUGGAGGCAGGCGCUGAGGCAGGCGCCAGAGGAUGCUGCUUACUGGCUUGCUCCUCAUGGCUUACUCAGCAGGUUCUCUUCCUCCCUUCCUCCCUUCCUCCCUUCCUCCCUUCCUCCCUUCCUUUAUUAUAUGUGAGUACACUGUAGCUGUCUUCAGACACACCAGAAGAGGGCAUUCGAUCUCCUUACAGAUGGUUGUGAGCCACCGUGUGGUUGUUGGGAUUUGAACUCAGGACCCCCAGAAGAGCAGUCAGUGGUCUUAACCACUAAGCCAUCUCUCCAGCUCUCACUCCAGCUCCUCAGUAGGUUUUCGUAUAGAACCCAGGAUCACCUGCCAGGGUAGUACCACACACAUUGGACUGGCCCUGCCCCAUUAGUCACUAAGAAAAUGCCCUCCAACCUUGCCUUUGGCCCAAUCUCAGGGACAGAGAGUUUCACCCUGAAACUCACUGUAGACCAGAUUCUCUUUGAGUUCCCAGAGGCCUACCACUACCUCUGCCUUCCAAAUGCUGGCGUUAAAGGUGUGCAGCACCAUGGCUUGGAUGAGAACUCAUCUUAAAAGAAUCAGAUGAGGAGGAAGGAGCACAGCCAGAGGCAUCUCCUCUGAGAAUUCAGAGUUCAGAGCAGAGAGAGAACUAAGCUGAACGCAGCCAGCAGACUGGCCAUGAGAGGAGAGAGAGAGGAAGACAGAGAGAGUGUGGGCAAAGUAGAUCAAGAGAGACAGACAACAGAGCGCACAAGCCACAAGAGGAGGGCUUGAAGGGGUUGAGAAGCUGGGGAGGGAAGCCUGUGAACUAGCUGGUUUCUGCUCGCUCACUUGGGGCAGGGACAGGAGAGCCU
rnacentral:lncRNA from 1 species